rnacentral:rRNA from 1 species
AUGAACACCGUAGAGUUAAACACAGGGUUUAGGGUUUUGCGUGGGUGGUUGACAUCCAGCCUCACGUCUCAAUAUAUAGGAUUGAGUUCCCACUUGUGGCGAAAAAAAAAGUAUACCAUCCCACCCGGCCUAACCCGGGGGGUUAAGGUUCCUCUCGGAGACUGCCAGUCUACAAGAAGCUGGCAGAGCUUUAGCCAUUGGACCACAUCCAUCCAUCCUCCUACCUAA